rnacentral:rRNA from 1 species
AGAGUUUGAUCCUGGCUCAGGACGAACGCUGGCGGCGCGCCUAACACAUGCAAGUCGAACGAGCGAGAGAGAGCUUGCUUUCUCGAGCGAGUGGCGAACGGGUGAGUAACGCGUGAGGAACCUGCCUCGAAGAGGGGGACAACAGUUGGAAACGACCGCUAAUACCGCAUAAGCCCACGGCUCGGCAUCGAGCAGAGGGAAAAGGAGCAAUCCGCUUUGAGAUGGCCUCGCGUCCGAUUAGCUGGUUGGUGAGGUAACGGCCCACCAAGGCGACGAUCGGUAGCCGGACUGAGAGGUUGAACGGCCACAUUGGGACUGAGACACGGCCCAGACUCCUACGGGAGGCAGCAGUGGGGAAUAUUGCACAAUGGGGGAAACCCUGAUGCAGCGACGCCGCGUGGAGGAAGAAGGUCUUCGGAUUGUAAACUCCUGUUGUUGGGGAAGAUAAUGAC